UAGCUGGUUCUCCCCGAAAUAGCUUUAGGGCUAGCCUCAGGGUAAGCUACUUGCUGGUAGAGCACUGAAUGAUAGAUGGCCGCGUCUAGCGGUACUGAUAUCAAUCAAACUCCGAAUAGUGAGAUAGUAUACCUGGGAGUCAGUCUGUGGGAGAUAAGUUCCAUGGACAAGAGGAAAAGAGUCCAGACCGCCAAAUAAGGUCCCAAAAUCUAUACUAAGUGUAAAAGGAUGUAGAGAUGCAUAGACAACUAGGAUGUUGGCUCAGAAGCAGCCAUCAUUUAAAGAGUGCGUAACAGCUCACUAGUCGAGUGCCUCCGCGCCGAAAAUUUACCGGGGCUAAGUAUAGUACCGAAGUUGCGGAUUUGAGAAAAUGGUAGGGGAGCGUUCCAUCAUCGGCGAAGCGAUACCGAAAGGAGUCGUGGAGAGGAUGGAAGUGAGAAUGCCGGUGUAAGUAACGAUAUUGGGUGAGAAUCCCAAUCACCAUUAGACUAAGGUUUCCUGGGGAAGGUUCGUCCGCCCAGGGUAAGUCGGGACCUAAGGCGAGGCUGAGAAGCGUAGUCGAUGGACGACAGGUUGAUAUUCCUGUACCCGUAUAUAAGUGAAGUAAUGACAGAGAAGGCUAGAUCGGCUACCUAAUGGAUGGUAGUACAAGCGAGAUAGCAGGUGCAAAGGCAAAUCCGUGCACAGAAUGCAAGGCGUGAAGUGGAGCGAACGAGCAAUCAAGUAGCGAAGCGAUUGAUGCCAGCUUUCAAGAAAAGUUGCUAACUUAAUUAUAUGCGGCCCGUACCGAGAACGGACACACGUGGUCAAGGAGAGUAUCCUAAGGUGAGCGAGUGAACUGUUGUUAAGGAACUCUGCAAAAUUACUUCGUAAGUUCGCAAGAAGAAGUGCUACAGCGAUGUAGCCGCAGUGAAGAGGCCCAAGUAACUGUUUAACAAAAACACAGCUUUAUGCUAAGUCGUAAGACGAUGUAUAUGAGGUGAUGCCUGCCCAGUGCUGGAAGGUUAAAAGGAGAUGUGCAAGCAUUGAUCUGAAGCCCCAGUGAACGGCGGCCGUAACUAUAACGGUCCUAAGGUAGCGAAAUUCCUUGUCGGGUAAGUUCCGACGCGCAUGAAUGGUAUAAUAAUUUGGGCGCUGUCUCGACAGCAGACUCGGUGAAAUCUUAAUCCCUGUGAACAUGCAGGUUACCCGCGACUAGACGGAAAGACCCCAUGGAGCUUUACUAUAGCUUAAUAUUGAAUAGUUGAAAAUCCUGUACAGGAUAGGUAGGAGACAAUGAAGUUUGUGCGUCAGCAUGAAUGGAGUCAACGGUGGGAUACUACUCUUGAUUUUCGAUUGUUCUAACUUAGAAUCAAAACGGGUUCGAGGACAGUGUUAGGUGGGUAGUUUGACUGGGGCGGUCGCCUCCUAAAGAGUAACGGAGGCGCCCCAAGGUACCCUCAGUAUGGUUGGAAAUCAUACAACGAGUGCAAAGGCAUAAGGGUGCUUGACUGCGAGACCUACAAGUCGAGCAGGGACGAAAGUCGGG
rnacentral:rRNA from 1 species